rnacentral:rRNA from 1 species
UACGUAGGGUGCAAGCGUUGUCCGGAAUUAUUGGGCGUAAAGAGCUCGUAGGCGGUCUGUCGCGUCGGCUGUGAAAACCUGGGGCUCAACUCCAGGCCUGCAGUCGAUACGGGCAGACUAGAGUUCGGUAGGGGAGACUGGAAUUCCUGGUGUAGCGGUGAAAUGCGUAGAUAUCGGGAGGAACACCCGUAGCGAAGGCGGCCGACUGGACCACACCUGACGCUGAGGCGCGAAGGCCAGGGGAGCGAACGGG